rnacentral:rRNA from 1 species
GAUGAACGCUGGCGGCGUGCCUAAUACAUGCAAGUCGAGCGAACAGACGAGGAGCUUGCUCCUCUGACGUUAGCGGCGGACGGGUGAGUAACACGUGGAUAACCUACCUAUAAGACUGGGAUAACUUCGGGAAACCGGAGCUAAUACCGGAUAAUAUAUUGAACCGCAUGGUUCAAUAGUGAAAGACGGUUUUGCUGUCACUUAUAGAUGGAUCCGCGCCGCAUUAGCUAGUUGGUAAGGUAACGGCUUACCAAGGCAACGAUGCGUAGCCGACCUGAGAGGGUGAUCGGCCACACUGGAACUGAGACACGGUCCAGACUCCUACGGGAGGCAGCAGUAGGGAAACUUCCGCAAUGGGCGAAAGCCUGACGGAGCAACGCCGCGUGAGUGAUGAAGGUCCUCGGAUCGUAAAACUCUGUUAUUAGGGAAGAACAAAUGUGUAAGUAACUAUGCACGUCUUGACGGUACCUAAUCAGAAAGCCACGGCUAACUACGUG